rnacentral:rRNA from 1 species
AAAAACUCACCUGCCGAAUGAAUUAGCCCUGAAAAUGGAUGGCGCUGAAGCGGGUAGCCGACACCAUGCCGUCUGGGCAAUUUUUAUUAAAAACUGAUUUCAGAUGAGUAGGAGGGCGUGGUGGCCGUGUCGAAGCUUGCGUGCAGACGCAUGUGGAACGGCCACUAGUGCAGAUCUUGGUGGUAGUAGCAAAUAUUCAAGCGAGAUCCUUGAAGGGCGAAGCGGGGAAGGGUUCCACGCGAACAUUGAUUGGGCGUGGGUGAGUCGUUCCUAAGCCGAGUGGCGAUUGCUAAGUAGCGGCGAAAGGGAAGCGGGUUGACAUUCCCGCACACGGAUGUGGAGGCGGUGACGCUUUUAUUGCGGCGAACACGCUGGCGGUGGCGCUGGGCAGAGUUUUCUUUUCUGUUUGACCGCUUUAUGCGCGCGGUGUGGAAUCCGCUUGUCGGGAGAAACACGCGCGUACGGGCAGAGCGCCGGGCUUUUUCCGGCGUCCAGCUCGCCACCGACGGCCCUUGAAACUUUGCCUGCUGAUUUAAAAUCCACGCCGUGGCGUACCGAUCACCGCAUCAGGUCCCCAAGGUGAACAGCCUCUGCUCCAUAUGAACAAU